GACGAACGCUGGCGGCGUGCCUAACACAUGCAAGUCGAGCGAGUUGAUUCUCUUCGGAGAUGAGGCUAGCGGCGGACGGGUGAGUAACACGUGGGCAACCUGCCUCAUAGAGGGGAAUAGCCUCCCGAAAGGGAGAUUAAUACCGCAUAAGAUUGUAGCUUCGCAUGAAGUAGCAAUUAAAGGAGCAAUCCGCUAUGAGAUGGGCCCGCGGCGCAUUAGCUAGUUGGUGAGGUAACGGCUCACCAAGGCGACGAUGCGUAGCCGACCUGAGAGGGGGAUCGGCCACACUGGGACUGAGACACGGCCCAGACUCCUACGGGAGGCAGCAGUGGGGAAUAUUGCACAAUGGGGGAAACCCUGAUGCAGCAACGCCGCGUGAGUGAUGACGGCCUUCGGGUUGUAAAGCUCUGUCUUCAGGGACGAUAAUGACGGUACCUGAGGAGGAAGCCACGGCUAACUACGUGCCAGCAGCCGCAGUAA
rnacentral:rRNA from 1 species